rnacentral:rRNA from 1 species
GUUUCAGCCGCCGCGGUAAUGCGUAGGGUGCAAGCGUUAAUCGGAAUUACUGGGCGUAAAGCGUGCGCAGGCGGUUAUGCAAGACAGAGGUGAAAUCCCCGGGCUCAACCUGGGAACUGCCUUUGUGACUGCAUGGCUAGAGUACGGUAGAGGGGGAUGGAAUUCCGCGUGUAGCAGUGAAAUGCGUAGAUAUGCGGAGGAACACCGAUGGCGAAGGCAGUCCCCUGGACCUGUACUGACGCUCAUGCACGAAAGCGUGGGAAGCAAACAGGAUUAGAUACCCUGGUAGUCCACGCCCUAAACGAUGUCAACUGGUUGUUGGGAGGGUUUCUUCUCAGUAACGUAGCUAACGCGUGAAGUUGACCGCCUGGGGAGUACGGCCGCAAGGUUGAAACUCAAAGGAAUUGACGGGGACCCGCACAAGCGGUGGAUGAUGUGGUUUAAUUCGAUGCAACGCGAAAAACCUUACCUACCCUUGACAUGCCAGGAAUCCUGAAGAGAUUUGGGAGUGCUCGAAAGAGAGCCUGGACACAGGUGCUGCAUGGCCGUCGUCAGCUCGUGUCGUGAGAUGUUGGGUUAAGUCCCGCAACGAGCGCAACCCUUGUCAUUAGUUGCUACGAAAGGGCACUCUAAUGAGACUGCCGGUGACAAACCGGAGGAAGGUGGGGAUGACGUCAGGUCAUCAUGGCCCUUAUGGGUAGGGCUACACACGUCAUACAAUGGCCGGGACAGAGGGCUGCCAACCCGCGAGGGGGAGCUAAUCCCAGAAACCCGGUCGUAGUCCGGAUCGUAGUCUGCAACUCGACUGCGUGAAGUCGGAAUCGCUAGUAAUCGCGGAUCAGCUUGCCGCGGUGAAUACGUUCCCGGGUCUUGUACACACCGCCCGUCAAAC